UCUCCGUUGGUGAACCAGCGGAGGGAUCAUUACUGAGUGAGGGCUCCGGCCCGACCUCCAACCCCAUGUGAACCGAAACCUGUUGCUUCGGGGGCGACCCUACCGUUCGGCGUGGCGCCCCCGGAGGCUCAUCAAACACUGCAUCAUUGCGUCGGAGUUAAAGUAAAUUAAACAAAACUUUCAACAACGGAUCUCUUGGUUCCAGCAUCGAUGAAGAACGCAGC
rnacentral:misc_RNA from 1 species